ensembl:lncRNA
GUGAGUGCACACGGCGCGCCGCGGGGACCGGCUCCUGCGAGCUGGUCGCGGGACCCGGGCACUCGGAAGGGCGGCGGGGAGGGGCGAAGGAGGGAGAAAGGGAGAGAUGCCAAGACCUCCUCUGUGGCUCCUGGGUAGGUCCCGGGCGGGCGCAGCCGAGGGGAGGCGGCGCGACACGCCGGCCAAAUGCACUGCCGGGAAGGACCGAAUCCCCCGAGCCCGCGCCGCUCCUGCGCCCGCACUGUCCCCUCUUCGCAGGCCGGCGUGGAAGGCGGGUUUCCUGAGAGGUGUAUGUCCCAGAAUACACUCUGCCCUCCUGGGAGGAAAAGGCGACGCCUACGGCAGAGGGCCGUCCCGCAUCAGAGGUUCCAGGAGCGUCAAAGCCGGACUUCAGAUCUGAGCGGCGGCGGAGCCACGCUUGUGUGGUGUCCGCGCCCAUCUGGAGGCGGGUGGCGGGACCUCCUCGCCAGCGGUCCCCGCCCUGGGCCGAAGCCAGGCUUUGGCAGCAGCGGGUCACAAUCGGGGACAGGGGUGGCCGGAGGGGGCCCGAGCAUCAGGCUUCCUGGUCGCUAGAGGUAUUUUUAAUUCCGCAGAAGAGACUCAGGACUCCUAACUCCCAGCACUGGGUGCAGGCUCAGAAGGGGACUGUGUCAGACUUACUUUGCGGCGCGGCCCAGCCUUUUGCGCGCGCAAAGUCUCGGGACCGCCGGCGUGGUUAGAAACGCGGCCUGGGCCGGUUGGCGGAAGGGGGCGCAAUGCGCACGGCCGCUUGAGGAGCUCUGUAAGCAUGGAGGGCGGAGGGCUAGCUGAACACCGGCAGAUCCGAGCGCGGGAUGGGGCCUGAUGUCUACACCAUCAUUUUUGGAGAAGCUGUCAACUCUGACAAAUGAAGGAAAGCGGAAGGCAGCGAGCCGCACCUGCGAAAAGGCCUGGAAUUCCAGGGCCAACCCCGCCCAUCUGUUCUUUUCUAAGAGUACUUGGACCCUGCUUGAUUGUUUGAGAUCCAGCGAUUGGAUUUUCUGAAAGUAAAUCUCAGAAAUGGAAAUUCACGCUCAUUACCUUGCACAAACAUUUUUAAUUUCUGAGUGGCCUGCAUUGAGCCUAGAGGCAAGAAUCCUUCUUGCUGGAGCCAUAGUCGAGCCUGUAAAAGCCGAAAACCUUCCGCUGAGGUUAGAAAGGCAAUAAUUUAGACACACAGAGAAAAUUCCUAGCUGGAAGACAAGAGAAAACGCUCCAAGUGAAGUUAGAAAAUUUACCUUUGUAUAAAAAUCCUUUGAACAUUAUUGGACGGUAAGUGUGUUUUUCCAGUUAUGGUUGUUGAUCUGAAUUUCUCAGCGACACUUUGCAUGUGCAAAUCGUGAGAUCCGUUCUCAGUGAAGAUGACUAAUGGAUCUUUUAGGAAUCCAUGCUUUAAAGUAGAUUUUCUAUGUUGGUCAUGGAAGCUGCUUCACUUUACUUUAUGGGAUGGUUGUCAAGGGAACCUUGGGUAAAAUUUCUCAGGAGUGUCUCUAAAAACAUUAUUCAUAAUUAAAAAGUGAUUCAUAGAAAUCUCCAGAAAAAUUAUGGCAAGUUAUGUUCGAACAUGUUUUUUAGGCCAUGUGGAAUAAAUAAAAUCAUUAAGGUCUGGUUGGGUAAUACUGCCUCCCAGCUUCCUCUGACUGUGCCAGGAGGACCUGAUACGGCUUCAGAGAUGUGAGAGCAGCCUGUGGGACAUGAGCUAAAAAACAUCUGCAUUUUCUCCAGCUAUUUUCUAUAUUGAUAAUGCAGGUUCUAAUUCCACCCCUUUAAAGACCGCUGAAUAAUAUCGUCCAAGAAGUGGGUAAGGGAGCACUAAAAGGAGUAUCUUUAAUAAACUUAGGGAUUCUUUUCUUUUGGGGGGUGGGAAUAAGGACUGUGGAAAGCUCCCCAUGACCGAGUCUAAAGGCAGAAUGAACCCAUUGGGACACAGACCUGCUUGUUUAUAGGCCAGCUGAUGUUCGCCAGGUUUUUUGGCACCUUAGUGGUGAAAUUCCCCAGACAAACCAUUCUGCCAACCAAACUUUGCUCUGCAGAGGAAAGCAGUGCUUUGAGGUCUCAAGAUUUUAGCAAUACAAACCUCUUCAGUUGGGCAUUGUGUGGGUACAAAUUGUUUUCCUGGUGGAGAAGUAGGGCGAGUCUUGUCAAGGCAAUUUAGUGGCCUGCACUAGUUAUGCAGCUGACACAGCUGCCAAAGCCCUGGGUUUCCAGUCUAACUUACCUUGGACAUUGGUGGACUCUGACAAUAAAUGUCAGUUGCUAAUAUUUAUUUGGAGAACUGGCAUUUAAUAGGGCCAUUUACUUAUUAAAUAAUCCAAACGGAAGCAGUUGCACUUGCUAAAAAAUUGCUACCAUUUACACACCUAAAGGAAGAGAUGCAAUUUCCAGCCCUGCGCGUGGUCACUCAGAUGCACCAUGGCGUGACUUAUUAGGUCAUUUUAGACUUCUUCACAGUCAACCAAAUCCUGGGCCUGGAUGGUGAGUCACCUGGCAUGUGAAGGUGGCUAAACCCAACAGACUGAGGGAAGGAAGGCAGUGCUUUGAAUUGGGGAGUCCUCACGCAUGCCUACUUGCACAUGCGCUGUUACUCAUCCAAGAAGAAUUCCUCUCGUGGUCACAGUGUGCCAGGCGCUCAGCCAGACAUUCGAAUGAUAAAAGUGAGUUCCUGCCAUUGAUGCGUUCUCAGUCCUAAUAAUGACUUUGACUGAGAAUCUGGCCUUAGAAAUGUUCACAGCUUUUGAACCAGUAAUUCUAUUUCUGAUUAUUUGUCUUGUGGAAAUCAUUGCUAGUAUGAAAAAAAGCCUUUUGUCAUCAGUAUUUGGGGAAUGGCUAAGGUUGCAAGCUUUGGUGUCAGGUCUAGUUUUGACUUCUCUCCACCCCUCAAGUUUUGUUAUCUGUACAAUGGGGAUAAUAGCUACCUCAUAAGAAGGUUAUGAGUGUUAACUAAAAAAUGAAUGAUAAAUAUAAUGAAUAUAAAAAGCCUGGCACACUGCUUGGGAGAAGGAAUUAUUCAAUACACUUAUUGGGAUUGUCAUCACAGAAUUAUUUAUAAUAUUAAGCUUUGGAAUAUUAACAUUAUUAAAUGCUGGAAACAAAUUAUCCUAAAUGGGUGGGGGUUGAUGCAUUGUGUUGAGAUAUAUAUUCAGUGAAAAGUUAUGCAGCUAUUAAAAAGAUUGUAACGUUUGUGACAACUGGUAUGGUAAUGUCUUCUUAGAGUACAGAUCCUAGAGAGCCAGCAGUUUCUUUCCCAGACUCCCUUGCAGCUAGGGUUCCCGAUAUG